rnacentral:rRNA from 1 species
CACGUAGUUAGCCGGGGCUUCUUAGUCAGGUACCGUCAUCUUCUUCCCUGCUGAUAGAGCUUUACAUACCGAAAUACUUCCUCACUCACGCGGCGUCGCUGCAUCAGGGUUUCCCCCAUUGUGCAAUAUUCCCCACUGCUGCCUCCCGUAGGAGUUUGGGCCGUGUCUCAGUCCCAAUGUGGCCGUCCACCCUCUCAGGCCGGCUACUGAUCGUAGGCUUGGUAGGCCUCUACCCCUGCCAACUACCUAAUCAGACGCGGGCCCAUCUUACACCACCGGAGUUUUUACCACCCUGCCAUGCGGCAAUGUGGUCUUAUGCGGUAUUAGCAGUCAUUUCUAACUGUUAUCCCCCUGUGUAAGGCAGGUUGCCCACGCGUUACUCACCCGCCCGCCGCUCAGUCACUUCCUCGUCCCUCCGAAGAGUUCUAAUGAAGUGCUUCGCUCGACUUGCAUGUGUUAGGCACGCCGCCAGCGUUCAUCCUGACGCCAGGAUACGAAACUCUUACCG